UGGUUGGUCGUCAGCUCGUGCCGUGAGGUGUCGGCUUAAGUGCCAUAACGAGCGCAACCCUCAUCAUUAGUUACCAUCAGGUAAGGCUGGGGACUCUAAUGAGACUGCCAUCGUAAGAUGUGAGGAAGGUGGGGAUGACGUCAAAUCAGCACGGCCCUUACGUCCGGGGCGACACACGUGUUACAAUGGGUGGUACAAAGGGCAGCUACCUGGCGACAGGAUGCUAAUCUCCAAAACCACUCUCAGUUCGGAUCGGAGUCUGCAACUCGACUCCGUGAAGCUGGAUUCGCUAGUAAUCGCGCAUCAGCCACGGCGCGGUGAAUACGUUCCCGGGCCUU
rnacentral:rRNA from 1 species